AAUCAACGCUGGCGGCGUGCCUCAGACAUGCAAGUCGAACGAUUAAGACUUCCUUCGGGAAGUGUAUAAAGUGGCGCACGGGCGAGUAACACGUAAGUAAUCUACCUUCGAGUGGGGAAUAACGUUCGGAAACGAACGCUAAUACCGCAUAAUGCAGCGGCACCUAAUGGUGACAGUUGUUAAAGGAGCAAUUCGCUUGAAGAGGAGCUUGCGGCAGACUAGCUAGUUGGUAAGGUAAUGGCUUACCAAGGCUACGAUCUGUAACCGGUCUAAGAGGACGGUCGGUCACACUGACACUGAAUAACGGGUCAGACUCCUACGGGAGGCAGCAGUCGGGAAUUUUGGGCAAUGGGCGAAAGCCUGACCCAGCAACGCCGCGUGAAGGAUGAAGUAUUUCGGUAUGUAAACUUCGAAAGAAUGGGAAGAAUCAAUGACGGUACCAUUUAUAAGGUCCGGCUAACUACGUGCCAGCAGCCGCCGUAAAAC
rnacentral:rRNA from 1 species